UACAGAGGGGGCGAGCGUUGUUCGGAAUUACUGGGCGUAAAGGGCGCGUAGGCGGCCCGCUAAGUCGAACGUGAAAUCCCCAGGCUCAACCCGGGAACUGCGUCCGAUACUGGCAGGCUUGAAUCCGGGAGAGGGAUGUGGAAUUCCAGGUGUAGCGGUGAAAUGCGUAGAUAUCUGGAGGAACACCGGUGGCGAAGGCGGCAUCCUGGACCGGUAUUGACGCUGAGGCGCGAAAGCUAGGGGAGCAAACGGG
rnacentral:rRNA from 1 species